rnacentral:tRNA from 1 species
GGCACUGUAGCUCAGUUGGUAGAGCACAUGCUUAACAUCUGACAGAUGAUGGUUCGCAUGAUUGUCGUCGGUUCGAGCCCGGCCAGAGUCA